rnacentral:rRNA from 1 species
ACAGGUGGUCAGGUAGAGAAUACUCAGGCGCUUGAGAGAACUCGGGUGAAGGAACUAGGCAAAAUAGCACCGUAACUUCGGGAGAAGGUGCGCUUACAGUAAUUGUAGUCCCUCGCGGAUGAAGGUGAAGUAAGUCGAAGAUACCAGCUGGCUGCAACUGUUUAUUAAAAACACAGCACUCUGCAAACACGAAAGUGGACGUAUAGGGUGUGAUGCCUGCCCGGUGCUGGAAGGUUAAUUGAUGGUGUUAUCGAAAGAGAAGCUCCUGAUCGAAGCCCCAGUAAACGGCGGCCGUAACUAUAACGGUCCUAAGGUAGCGAAAUUCCUUGUCGGGUAAGUUCCGACCUGCACGAAUGGCAUAAUGAUGGCCAGGCUGUCUCCACCCGAGACUCAGUGAAAUUGAAAUCGCCGUGAAGAUGCGGUGUACCCGCGGCUAGACGGAAAGACCCCGUGAACCUUUACUAUAGCUUGACACUGAACAUUGAAUUUUGAUGUGUAGGAUAGGUGGGAGCCUUUGAAGCAGUGACGCCAGUCAUUGUGGAGGCGACCUUGAAAUACCACCCUUUAACGUUUGAUGUUCUAACGAAGUGCCUGAAACGGGUACUCGGACAGUGUCUGGUGGGUAGUUUGACUGGGGCGGUCUCCUCCCAAAGCGUAACGGAGGAGCACGAAGGUUUGCUAAUGACGGUCGGACAUCGUCAGGUUAGUGCAAUGGUAUAAGCAAGCUUAACUGCGAGACGGACAAGUCGAGCAGGUGCGAAAGCAGGUCAUAGUGAUCCGGUGGUUCUGAAUGGAAGGGCCAUCGCUCAACGGAUAAAAGGUACUCCGGGGAUAACAGGCUGAUACCGCCCAAGAGUUCAUAUCGACGGCGGUGUUUGGCACCUCGAUGUCGGCUCAUCACAUCCUGGGGCUGAAGUAGGUCCCAAGGGUAUGGCUGUUCGCCAUUUAAAGUGGUACGCGAGCUGGGUUUAGAACGUCGUGAGACAGUUCGGUCCCUAUCUGCCGUGGGCGUUGGAUGAUUGAUUGGGGCUGCUCCUAGUACGAGAGGACCGGAGUGGACGCAUCACUGGUGUUCCAGUUGUCUCGCCAGAGGCAUUGCUGGGUAGCUAAAUGCGGAAGAGAUAAGUGCUGAAAGCAUCUAAGCACGAAACUUGCCAAGAGAUGAGUCAUCCCUGACUUUAAGUCAGUAAGGGUUGUUUAAGACUAAGACGUAGAUAGGUUGGGUGUGUAAGUGUAGUGAUACAUUGAGCUAACCAAUACUAAUUGCCCGAGAGGC